rnacentral:tRNA from 1 species
GUAAAUGUCUUCGGAGUGUUCUUGAAUGUCAAGCAGAACGUCAAGUUCGUCCUGAAGAAGAAGC